UACGGAAGGUCCGGGCGUUAUCCGGAUUUAUUGGGUUUAAAGGGAGCGUAGGCCGCUUUGUAAGCGUGUUGUGAAAUUUGCCGGCUCAACCGGUAACUUGCAGCGCGAACUGCAGAGCUUGAGUGUGCGCAACGUUGGCGGAAUUCGUCGUGUAGCGGUGAAAUGCUUAGAUAUGACGAAGAACUCCGAUUGCGAAGGCAGCUGACGGGAGCACUACUGACGCUGAAGCUCGAAAGUGCGGGUAUCGAACAGGAUUAGAUACCCUGGUAGUCCGCACGGUAAACGAUGGAUGCCCGCUGUUUGCACGUAGUUGCAAGCGGCCAAGCGAAAGCGUUAAGCAUCCCACCUGGGGAGUACGCCGGCAACGGUGAA
rnacentral:rRNA from 1 species